rnacentral:rRNA from 1 species
UACACAUGCAGUCGUACGGUGAAAGAGAGCUUGCUCUCUGGAUCAGUGGCGAACGGGUGAGUAACACGUGAGCAACCUGCCCCGGACUCUGGGAUAACAGCUGGAAACAGCUGCUAAUACCGGAUACGAGCUGCGAAGGCAUCUUCAGCAGCUGGAAAGAAUUUCGGUCCGGGAUGGGCUCGCGGCCUAUCAGCUAGUUGGUGAGGUAAUGGCUCACCAAGGCGUCGACGGGUAGCCGGCCUGAGAGGGUGACCGGCCACACUGGGACUGAGACACGGCCCAGACUCCUACGGGAGGCAGCAGUGGGGAAUAUUGCACAAUGGGCGAAAGCCUGAUGCAGCAACGCCGCGUGAGGGAUGACGGCCUUCGGGUUGUAAACCUCUUUUAGCAGGGAAGAAGCGAAAGUGACGGUACCUGCAGAAAAAGCGCCGGCUAACUACGUGCCAGCAGCCGCGGUAAUACGUAGGGCGCAAGCGUUAUCCGGAAUUAUUGGGCGUAAAGAGCUCGUAGGCGGUUUGUCGCGUCUGCUGUGAAAACCCGAGGCUCAACCUCGGGCCUGCAGUGGGUACGGGCAGACUAGAGUGCGGUAGGGGAGAUUGGAAUUCCUGGUGUAGCGGUGGAAUGCGCAGAUAUCAGGAGGAACACCGAUGGCGAAGGCAGAUCUCUGGGCCGUAACUGACGCUGAGGAGCGAAAGGGUGGGGGAGCAAACAGGCUUAGAUACCCUGGUAGUCCACCCCGUAAACGUUGGGAACUAGUUGUGGGGUCCAUUCCACGGAUUCCGUGACGCAGCUAACGCAUUAAGUUCCCCGCCUGGGGAGUACGGCCGCAAGGCUAAAACUCAAAGGAAUUGACGGGGACCCGCACAAGCGGCGGAGCAUGCGGAUUAAUUUCGAUGCAACGCGAAGAACCUUACCAAGGCUUGACAUAUACGAGAACCGGGCCAGAAAUGGUCAACUCUUUGGACAACUCGUAAACAGGU